AUAGUACUCCCUCCGUCUUAAAAUUCUUGUCUUAGAUUCAUCUAAAUAGGGAAGUAUCUAACAUUAAAAUGUGACUAGAUACAUCCAUAUUUAGACAAAUCAAAGACAAGAAUUUUGGGACGGAGGGAGUAGAAC
rfam:Triticum aestivum genome assembly, contig: Triticum_aestivum_CS42_TGACv1_scaffold_288431_4AL